UAAUUAAAUACUUGUUCUUUAAUUAUGAUUCUCCAAUGAUUCAUGUAAUUAACAGAGAAACACUUGAUCAUCAACUUAAAUUAGAAAAGUGUUCCAACAAUAAUUAUGUUCCCUCUUCAAUCUUAACCAUCUUCGUAUUUGUUUUUGUGUUAAUUGUAUUAUCUUGUUGAUCACUAUUAAUCUAAUUAUUAUCUAAUUCAAUUCUUUAAUCAAUCAAUCUCUUAGUAUAAUCUUUCUACUUUUACUCGUAAUUGUUAAUCUUUAAUUCUUAUUGUAUUUUAUAUUUCAAUCAGACUAUGAGACUUGUUGUGUUUACAUUUUUUCUGACACUUUGGUGACCAUCAUCAUCUUGAUUGAUUGUUUAUUUUGAUUGUGUUUAAAUCAAUUGUUUUAUUUUAACUUGGUUGAUAAUUGAUCUCUUCUGGCAUCGUGUUAAGAUUCAAUUUUUGAAAACCAUUAAUGAUCAAUAAUCAAUAAAUUACACUCUUAAAGGAAGAAAAUUUUAAUCUCAUUCGAUUAAUAAUCUUUAACCUAAUAACAACUGAUCUCAUAAUUCCUUUAUAAUCAACUUGAGAUAAUUGUAAUUGGUUCCAUCUAACAAUUGACUCAUAACAAUUGUCAUUUUGAAGGUAUAAGCCACCUAAAGAUACAAUUAGUGAGAAAUUGAGUUAAUUGUUCAAUUUUUCUCGCUAAUUAUUGGAGAAAAUAUAUUGUUACAGUUUCUUUUUCACAGAAUUUCAUCAACAUGAUAAAGACAAUUUCUCAUCUGCAAAUCAAUUCAAUGAGUUGAGAAAAUCGUGAAAAGAGCAAGUUUUGUUUUCUAUCGUUUUCUUAAUCAUAUGUUAAUUGUUUCCAUUAAUUAAGAUCAUUAAUGAAUUA